CCGCAUGGUGGCGCAGUUGGUAGCAGUGUUGCUUGAAGGUCCUGGGUUCGACUCCCAGCCGGGGGU